GGGUGGUAAUGCCGGAUGCUCCAUCACACCGCAUGGUGUGUUGGGAAAGCCUUUGCGGCAUGGGAUGGGGUCGCGUCCUAUCAGCUUGAUGGCGGGGUAACGGCCCACCAUGGCUUCGACGGGUAGCCGGCCUGAGAGGGCGACCGGCCACAUUGGGACUGAGAUACGGCCCAGACUCCUACGGGAGGCAGCAGUGGGGAAUAUUGCACAAUGGGCGCAAGCCUGAUGCAGCGACGCCGCGUGAGGGAUGGAGGCCUUCGGGUUGUAAACCUCUUUUGUUAGGGAGCAAGGCACUUUGUGUUGAGUGUACCUUUCGAAUAAGCACCGGCUAACUACGUGCCAGCAGCCGCGGUAAUACGUAGGGUGCAAGCGUUAUCCGGAAUUAUUGGGCGUAAAGGGCUCGUAGGCGGUUCGUCGCGUCCGGUGUGAAA
rnacentral:rRNA from 1 species